rnacentral:rRNA from 1 species
GCCUCAGUAACGGCGAGUGAAGCGGCAACAGCUCAAAUUUGAAAUCUGGCCUCUUUGGGGUCCGAGUUGUAAUUUGUAGAGGAUGUUUCGGGUACCGCCUCGGUUUAAAUUUCUUGGAACAGAAUGUCAAAGAGGGUGAGAAUCCCGUCUUGGACCGGCGGUAGGGCCCAUGUGAAACUCCUUCGACGAGUCGAGUUGUUUGGGAAUGCAGCUCAAAAUGGGUGGUAAAUUUCAUCUAAAGCUAAAUAUUGGCCAGAGACCGAUAGCGCACAAGUAGAGUGAUCGAAAGAUGAAAAGCACUUUGAAAAGAGAGUUAAACAGUAUGUGAAAUUGUUGAAAGGGAAGCGCUUACAACCAGACUUGCGCGCGGCGGUUCCCCCUUCCUUUUGGUUGGGCUACUCCGUCGUGUCCAGGCCAACAUCGGUUCUGGGGGUCGGUUAAAGACCCUGGGAAUGUAUCUACCCUUCGGGCGUAGACUUAUAGCUCAGGGUGUCAUGCGACCUCCCGGGACCGAGGAACGCGCUUCGGCUCGGAUGUUGGCGUAAUGGUUG